rnacentral:misc_RNA from 1 species
UGCUGUCUCUGCUGGAGUUUC